rnacentral:lncRNA from 10 species
UUUUUGAGACGGAGUCUCGCUGUCUCCCAGGCUGGAGUUCAGUGCCUCAAUCUCGGCUCACUGCAAGCUCCACCUCCCGUGUUCUCGCCAUUCUCCUGCCUCAGCCUCCCCAGUAGCUGGGACUACAGGCGCCCGCCACCACACCUGGCUAAUUUUUUGUAUUUUUAGCCAUGGGGUUUCACCAUGUUAGCCAGGAUGGUCUCAAUCUCCUGACCUCGUGAUCUGCCUGCCUCGGCCUCCCAAAGUGCUGGGAUUACAGACAUGUGCCACCACGCCUGGCUAAUUUUUUGUAUUUUUAGUAGAGAUGGGGUUUCACCGUGUUGGCCAGGCUGGUCUCGAACUCCUGACCUUGGAUGAUCUGCUCGCCUCGGCCUCCCAAAUUGCUGGGAUGACAGACGUGAACCACCGUGCCUGGCCGACAGUCACCUUUAGAAUGUGAACAGUGGACACUGUGUUGGGGUCUCCUACCUGUGCCUGUGAUGUGGACUGGCCCAUCUCGUCAUGGACAAGUAGAGAUGGGGUUUCACCAUGUUGAGCAGUCUGGUCUUGAACUUCUGACCUCGUGAUCCACCCGCCUCAGCCCCCCAAAGUGCUGGGAUUACAGGCGUGAGCCACCGCGCCCGGCCUGAGACGGCUUUCCAAGGCUGCAGAAAUGAAGUCUGCAAUAGCAGAUCCUCUUUGCCUGGGUUUGCACGUGAUCCAGCAAACCACCCACCGACCCGUUGCCUCAUGUGAGACAUCCUCAGGGAACAGCAAGGUGAGCGUGCCGCAGUCUCGCUGUUCUUGGAAGGGACUUCCAGCCUGGAAAGAAAAGGGAGGGAUAAGAGAGCAUCUGUGGAUCUUCCUGGCAUAUUCCUUCUCCUACAAGGGGAUCCGGUACCGAAUGCAGCAUCUACCAACCACAGGCACUGGAUGUAACUAUGCUUUGAAUUUUGAAGGUCCCUGAUAAGACAUCUUUGAGGUCAGGCAUAAAUCAUCACUUCACAUCUUGACGGCAAUGCAACGAAGACAAGUAUCUGUCUCUUUGGGUCUGUCUAACAAGGAGCAAAGCCUGGCCUCCCACCAGCAUCCAGACAAUAGUGGAUUCCCUCUCCAUAGAUGUCAAAAAAGAAACAGAUGCUCCCGCAGGUGAAAUGAGCUCUGGUCCACAAUGCAACGCAGGCUGUGCAGAAAAUCAAAGAGGAACCAACCCAGAAGUAUCCCCCAGGACAAAUCAUUAAGGGGGAAAAGGUCUCUGCAAAUGUAAUGAGUCCAGACACCAAGGGAAACGGAGAAGAUAAGAAGCAGAGAUUGAG